AUGGCCGACGACGCGGCAUCGGCCCCGCCGACGGCGCAGCUGGCCGCCGCCUCCAUCUCCUCCCCGCCCUCCUCGGACCUCGAGCCGCCGACCUCCCGCACCCGCAUCCGCGCCAUCCUGGACGCCGGCGACGCCAUGGCCGGGGAGCGCGUGGUCGUCGGAGGCUGGGUCAAGACCGGCCGCCAGCAGGGCAAGGGCGAGUUCGCCUUCCUCGAGGUCAACGAUGGGUCCUGCCAGGGGAACCUCCAGGUCAUGGUCGAAAAGGACGUGCACCCGCUCGCGCAGCUCACCCACACGGGCACCUCCGUGCUCGUCGAGGGCGUGCUCAAGAAGCCCCCCGCGGAAGCCAAGCAGCGCAUCGAGUUGAAGGUGGAGCGGGUCAUCGAGCUCGGGGAGGUGGACGCCGCCGCCUACCCGCUGCCCAAGACCAAGAUCACGCUCGAGACGCUCAGGGACUUCGUCCACCUGCGUGCACGCACCAACACGAUAGGCGCAGUUGCUCGGAUAAGGCACCAGCUUGCCUAUGCGACACACAGUUUUUUCGAUGAAAAUGGAUUUUUGUAUAUUCACACCCCCAUAAUAACCACCAGCGACUGUGAGGGUGCAGGUGAGAUGUUCCAAGUCACUGCCUUAUUCAGCCAGGCUGAAAAGGUGGAGAAGGAGCUUAAGGAGAACCCUGCACCAUCAGAAGCUGACGUUGAGGCUGCUAAGCUUGUUGUUAAAGAGAAAGGAGAUGCAGUUGCACAACUGAAAGCAGCAAAAGCUAGCAAGCAAGAGAUAACUGCUGCUGUUUCCGUGCUUACAAAAGCUAAAGAGAAUGUGUUAAGGGUGGAAGAGCGGUCUAAGUUGAAACCUGGACUUCCACUCAAGGAUGAUGGGAAAAUUGCAUUUGAGAAUGACUUCUUCAAGCGUCAAGCUUUUCUGACUGUUUCAGGCCAACUUCAGGUUGAAACUUAUGCUUGUGCUCUCAGUAAUGUGUAUACCUUUGGACCGACAUUCCGGGCAGAGAACUCACAUACAUCAAGACAUUUGGCAGAGUUUUGGAUGGUUGAACCAGAAAUUGCAUUUGCAAACUUGCAGGAUGAUAUGAACUGUGCUGAAAGGUAUGUACAGUACCUGUGCAAAUGGUUACUCAAGCAUUGCCGAGAAGACAUGGAAUUCAUGGUUAAACAUGUGGACAAGACUGCAAUUGAGCGUCUGGAGCUUGUUUCCUCUACUCCGUUUGAACACAUUUCAUAUACAAAGGCUGUGGAGAUCUUAGAAGGUGUAGAUAAGAAGUUUGAGAACAAGGUUGAAUGGGGAAUUGAUUUAGCGUCUGAGCAUGAGAGGUAUUUGACUGAGGUGAUAUUUAAGAAGCCAGUUAUUGUGUAUAACUACCCAAAAGGAAUAAAGGCAUUUUACAUGAGGCUCAAUGAUGACCAGAAGACAGUAGCUGCAAUGGAUGUUCUUGUUCCCAAGGUUGGUGAAUUAAUCGGUGGAAGCCAAAGGGAGGAGCGUCUUGAUAUUCUUAAGCAAAGGAUACUGGACGCCGAUCUUCCUCUGGAGCCGUACGAGUGGUACCUGGACCUCCGACGCUUUGGCUCAGUGAAGCACAGCGGGUUCGGCCUGGGGUUCGAGCGGAUGAUCCUUUUCGCCACGGGCCUGGAGAACAUCAGAGAUGUCAUUCCAUUCCCAAGAUACCCUGGGAGGGCCGAUCUUUGA
rnacentral:rRNA from 1 species